GACGAACGCUGGCGGCGUGCUUAACACAUGCAAGUCGAACGGAAAGGCCCUGCUUGCAGGGUACUCGAGUGGCGAACGGGUGAGUAACACGUGGGUGAUCUGCCCUGCACUUCGGGAUAAGCCUGGGAAACUGGGUCUAAUACCGGAUAGGAGCCAUUUUUAGUGUGAUGGUUGGAAAGUUUUUUCGGUGUAGGAUGAGCUCGCGGCCUAUCAGCUGGUUGGUGGGGUAAUGGCCUACCAAGGCGGCGACGGGUAGCCGGCCUGAGAGGGUGGACGGCCACAUUGGGACUGAGAUACGGCCCAGACUCCUACGGGAGGCAGCAGUGGGGAAUAUUGCACAAUGGGCGCAAGCCUGAUGCAGCGACGCCGCGUGGGGGAUGACGGCCUUCGGGUUGUAAACUCCUUUCGCUAGGGACGAAGCUUUUUGUGACGGUACCUAGAUAAGAAGCACCGGCUAACUACGUG
rnacentral:rRNA from 1 species